UUGGGCCUACGGGAGGCAGCAGUCGAGAAUCAUUCACAAUGGGGGGAACCCUGAUGGUGCGACGCCGCGUGGGGGAAUGAAGGUCUUCGGAUUGUAAACCCCUGUCAUGUGGGAGCAAGUUAAAAAGAUAGUACCACAAGAGGAAGAGACGGCUAACUCUGUGCCAGCAGCCGCGGUAAUACAGAGGUCUCAAGCGUUGUUCGGCAUCACUGGGCGUAAAGCGUGCGUAGGCUGUUUCGUAAGUCGUGUGUGAAAGGCGCGGGCUGAACAGGCGGACGG
rnacentral:rRNA from 1 species